GAUGAACGCUAGCGGCAGGCCUAACACAUGCAAGUCGAGGGGCAGCACAGAAACAGCAAUGUUUUGGUGGCGACCGGCGGACGGGUGCGUAACGCGUAUGCAACCUACCUUUAACAGGGGGAUAACGGAGAGAAAUUUCCACUAAUACCCCAUAACAUCGAUCAAGGCAUCUUGAUUGGUUGAAAACUCCGGUGGUUAAAGAUGGGCAUGCGUUGUAUUAGGUAGUUGGUGAGGUAAUGGCUCACCAAGCCUACGAUACAUAGGGGGACUGAGAGGUUAGCCCCCCACACUGGUACUGAGACACGGACCAGACUCCUACGGGAGGCAGCAGUGAGGAAUAUUGGUCAAUGGGGGCAACCCUGAACCAGCCAUGCCGCGUGCAGGAUGACGGCUCUAUGAGUUGUAAACUGCUUUUGUACGAGGGUAAAGUGGGUUACGUGUAACCUUUUGAAAGUAUCGUACGAAUAAGGAUCGGCUAACUCCGUGCCAGCAGCCGCCGUAA
rnacentral:rRNA from 1 species